rnacentral:rRNA from 1 species
AUUGAACGCUGGCGGCAGGCCUAACACAUGCAAGUCGAACGAGUGGCGGACGGGUGAGUAAUGUCUGGGAAACUGCCUGAUGGAGGGGGAUAACUACUGGAAACGGUAGCUAAUACCGCAUACCAUCGGAUGUGCCCAGAUGGGAUUAGCUAGUAGGUGGGGUAAAGGCUCACCUAGGCGACGAUCCCUAGCUGGUCUGGGAGGAUGACCAGCCACACUGGAACUGAGAAACGGUUCAGACUCCGACGGGAGCAACAGGUGGGGAAGAUUGCACAAUGGGCGCAAGCCUGAUGCAGCCAUGCCGCGUGUAUGAAGAAGGCCUUCGGGUUGUAAAGUACUUUCAGCGGGGAGGCGUUACCCGCAGAAGAAGCACCGGCUAACUCCGUGCCAGCCGCCGCGGUAAUAC